rnacentral:rRNA from 1 species
AGCUCCAGUAGCGUAUAUUAAAGUUGUUGCAGUUAAAAAGCUCGUAGUUGGAUUUCUGGCGUGACACGUCUGACCCGCCACAAUCAUGUGUGUGAGUGUCGGUUCAUGUCUGCCAUCCUUCUGGAGAACGUGUCUACCUUUAAUAGAGGCCGGAUGCGCGAUCCAGAUCUUUUACUUUGAAGAAAUUAGAGUGUUCAAAGCAGGCUUGCGCUGUGAAUACAUUAGCAUGGAAUAAUAAUUUAGGACUUUUGUUCUAUUUUGUUGGUUUCUAGAACUGAAGUAAUGAUUGAUAGGGAUAGUUGGGGGUGCUAGUAUUCAACGGCCAGAGGUGAAAUUCUCGGAUUCGUUGAAGACUAACUUAUGCGAAAGCAUUCACCAAGGAUGUCUUCUUUAAUCAAGA